rnacentral:rRNA from 1 species
AUCCUGGCUCAGGAUGAACGCUAGCGGCAGGCCUAAUACAUGCAAGUCGAACGGGUUUAAGUAGCAAUACUUAAAUCAGUGGCGCACGGGUGCGUAACGCGUAUGCAACCUACCUUAAACUGGGGGAUAGCCUUCCGAAAGGGAGAUUAAUACCGCAUAAUACUAUUUGAUGGCAUCUGAAGAUAGUUAAAGAUUUAUUGGUUUAAGAUGGGCAUGCGUGCCAUUAGCUAGUUGGUAGGGUAACGGCCUACCAAGGCUACGAUGGCUAGGGGUUCUGAGAGGAUGAUCCCCCACACUGGUACUGAGAUACGGACCAGACUCCUACGGGAGGCAGCAGUAGGGAAUAUUGGGCAAUGGAGGCAACUCUGACCCAGCCAUGCCGCGUGCAGGAUGAAGGCCUUCUGGGUUGUAAACUGCUUUUAUCUAGGAAGAAAACGCCCAUGCGUGGGAAACUGACGGUACUAGAUGAAUAAGCACCGGCUAACUCCGUGCCAGCAGCCGCGGUAAUACGGAGGGUGCAAGCGUUGUCCGGAUUUAUUGGGUUUAAAGGGUGCGUAGGCGGCCCGUUAAGUCAGUGGUGAAAGCCUCCAGCUCAACUGGAGAACUGCCAUUGAUACUGACGGGCUUGAGUACAGACGAGGUUGGCGGAAUUGAUAGUGUAGCGGUGAAAUGCAUAGAUACUAUCAAGAACUCCGAUUGCGUAGGCAGCUAACUAGGCUGUAACUGACGCUGAGGCACGAAAGCGUGGGGAGCGAACAGGAUUAGAUACCCUGGUAGUCCACGCCGUAAACGAUGAUUACUCGAUGUCGGCGAUAAACAGUCGGCGUCUUAGCGAAAGCGUUAAGUAAUCCACCUGGGGAGUACGCCCGCAAGGGUGAAACUCA